rnacentral:rRNA from 1 species
UGGGGAAUAUUGGGCAAUGGGCGCAAGCCUGACCCAGCAACGCCGCGUGAAGGAAGAAGGCUUUUCGGGUUGUAAACUUCCUUUCUCAGGGACGAAGCAAGUGACGGUACCUGAGGAAUAAGCCACGGCUAACUACGUGCCAGCAGCCGCGGUAAUACGUAGGUGGCAAGCGUUAUCCGGAUUUACUGGGUGUAAAAGGGCGUGUAGGCGGGAAAAGGCAAGUCAGAUGUGAAAACCACGGGCUCAACCUGUGGCCUGCAUUUGAAACUGUUUUUCUUGAGUACUGGAGAGGCAGACGGAAUUCCUAGUGUAGCGGUGAAAUGCGUAGAUAUUAGGAGGAACACCAGUGGCGAAGGCGGUCUGCUGGACAGCAACUGACGCUGAGGCGCGAAAGCGUGGGGAGCAAACAGGAUUAGAUACC